GGGGACGAUUUAAACUUAGAGGAUGCCCUCGGUGGAGGAGGAAACAAUGACCCAGUACCACCGAAACCCAAGCCAAAUCCGAACCCCAGCAAACCGGAUUCCUCUGGUGGCUUCUCAGAUUCUGAUCUUGCUGAUGGAAAUCAUGGUGGAGAAGGUGGUGGAAGCCCCAGGAGUGAUGAGGAACAACAGGCCGACUCCCCCGGCGUGAUCUCUGGAAUCGUGGGAGCCGUGGUGGUUGCCGUGGCUGGAGCCAUUUCCAGCUUCAUUGCUUACCAGAAAAAGAAGCUGUGCUUCAAAGAGAACAAUGUGGAGCAAGGUGACGUGGACCUGCAGAAUCAUCGGUACACCAAUGCAGAGCCGCCUGUUCAACAGACUCUUUUAGAGAAAUAGAAGAUGGUCUGAACAAGCAGCCGACUGGGAUCCUAACACCUGCUUCAGGCUCCUCCUAGAAAUACACCUGCCGCCAGAGGGGCGACACAGGAGGCCUUUCUGUAGAUUCUGUGUGUUAACCUUGAGACGCCUUUGCCAGCUGCCUCCAGGCAGACGAUGUUUACUAACGAUGACUUUUACAUCCAAGAGGGGCCUUGUACACAACACUCUCCAAGGCCCAUGGGGAGCUUCCUGUGUGAUGUGAAAAGCUGACCCUUAUCAAGUCCCCACAAUUUGAAUAUCAGCCUCCCCCGAGGUACCGCCACCUGGAAGUCUGGGCCCCUCAGAGAUUACGCGCACCUUGAAACUUCCAUGGUUUCAAGGAAACUGUUUUUUAAGGAAACAGUGUCAACUGUUUGUUUGUUUGUUUGUUUGUUGGUGUUAAAUAUUAGGCAAGCCUUCCAUCCAUUUUCCUAAACAUCUCUUUCAUUUGUGAGGAUUUUUUUUUCAUACCAGGCUAAUAAAAAAGAAUUUGGAAACCAA